rnacentral:rRNA from 1 species
GACAGAGGGUGCAAGCGUUGUUCGGAAUUACUGGGCGUAAAGGGCGUGUAGGUGGUCAGGUAAGUCUGAUGUGAAAUCAUCAUCGCUUAACGAGAUGUCCGCAUCGGAUACUGUCUGACUUGAGUAUAGGAGAGGAUAACGGAAUUCCUGGUGUAGCGGUGGAAUGUGUAGAUAUCAGGAGGAACACCUGUGGCGAAGGCGGUUAUCUGGCCUAAUACUGACACUGAGGCGCGAAAGCUAGGGGAGCAAACGGG